rnacentral:rRNA from 1 species
UACGGAGGGUACAAGCGUUGUCCGGAAUCACUGGGCGUAAAGGGCGCGUAGGUGGCUUCUUAAGCGUGCGGUGAAAGCCUGGGGCUCAACCCCGGGUCGGCCGUGCGAACUGGGGGGCUGGAGCACUGUAGAGGCAGGCGGAAUUCCGGGUGUAGCGGUGGAAUGCGUAGAGAUCCGGAAGAACACCGGUGGCGAAGGCGGCCUGCUGGGCAGUUGCUGACACUGAGGCGCGACAGCGUGGGGAGCAAACAGG